UUGGAAGAAUAUCUGACAAUACAUCAUCGAUACAUGACGAACAUGGGUAAAGGACUAGUGGGAACCAACAAGACAUUGAUAUGCUUGUGGUUGGUGAUGCUGCUUCUCCUUUCAUCUGAAGAGAUGGGAUCUGAUGGUUGUGAAGGUCAUGAUAGCCGAACCUGGGAUGGCAACAUGUGUGUAAAGCACGGCACCCGCAAUGUGGUCUGCCAGAAAGAGGGUUAUGACAGAGGCCGCUGCUACGUGACCGUAUGCAGGUGCUACAAGAACUGCGCUGGUCUACCAAUUUAGGCAUAUGUCAUUUCGUGCAUGCUGGAUCGGUGCUAUUGCUAUGAGUCUAUUCAUAACUCUGUCACAUAAUAUAAGGACGUUUUUGACACUAGUUAGUAUUAAAAACGUUCUUACAUUUUGGGACAGAGUGGUAAAUUAAGAGGCUCUCUAUACAUGCAAUAAUAAAGGAUUCGUGCUUGAUGGUGUAA